rnacentral:misc_RNA from 1 species
GACAUGGCCAAACACGCUGGGACGUGCCAUACGUGAAAGGCAGUCAUGUAAGAGAAGCGAGAACGCUCAAUGAGGGCAGUAAAAGGAUCAUAAGAACCCAUGCCCACUUURGCUUCCAUAUCCAAGAGACCAAGCCACCCUCAAYGGGCCAAACAAUCAACAAAUGCUCAUUGACUAUAUGGAUCAAAGAGGGUGCUACAUGGUUCAUCCAACAUUGCGGGUGCAACGCUUGAUGAAAAAGGUACAUUUUUUUAUCAAAACUAUGCCGUUGAUCAGGUAUGCAACACAUGAAACCCACAUAUACGAUCAAGACGAUACAAGCCUUGCCGUAAAACUGAAAAGGAAUGUACGCGUGGCC